rnacentral:rRNA from 1 species
GCCCUUUAGUGCUGCAGCUAACGCAUUAAGCACUCCGCCUGGGGAGUACGGUCGCAAGACUGAAACUCAAAGGAAUUGACGGGGGCCCGCACAAGCGGUGGAGCAUGUGGUUUAAUUCGAAGCAACGCGAAGAACCUUACCAGGUCUUGACAUCCUCUGACAACUCUAGAGAUAGAGCGUUCCCCUUCGGGGGACAGAGUGACAGGUGGUGCAUGGUUGUCGUCAGCUCGUGUCGUGAGAUGUUGGGUUAAGUCCCGCAACGAGCGCAACCCUUGAUCUUAGUUGCCAGCAUUUAGUUGGGCACUCUAAGGUGACUGCCGGUGACAAACCGGAGGAAGGUGGGGAUGACGUCAAAUCAUCAUGCCCCUUAUGACCUGGGCUACACACGUGCUACAAUGGAUGGUACAAAGGGCUGCAAGACCGCGAGGUCAAGCCAAUCCCAUAAAACCAUUCUCAGUUCGGAUUGUAGGCUGCAACUCGCCUACAUGAAGCUGGAAUCGCUAGUAAU